rnacentral:rRNA from 1 species
CCUGGUUGAUCCUGCCAGUAGUCAUAUGCUUGUCUCAAAGAUUAAGCCAUGCAUGUCUAAGUGCAUGCCAAAUUAAGGUGAAACCGCGAAUGGCUCAUUAAAUCAGUUAUGGUUCCUUAGAUCGUACCCACAUUUACUUGGAUAACUGUGGUAAUUCUAGAGCUAAUACAUGCAAACCAGAGUUCCGACCAGAGAUGGAAGGAACGCUUUUAUUAGAUCAAAACCAAUCGGUGGCGGGCUUUGCUCGUCCACCGUUUACUUUGGUGACUCUGAAUAACUUUGUGCUGAUCGCACGGUCUCGUACCGGCGACGCAUCUUUCAAAUGUCUGCCUUAUCAACUGUCGAUGGUAGGUUCUGCGCCUACCAUGGUUGUAACGGGUAACGGGGAAUCAGGGUUCGAUUCCGGAGAGGGAGCCUGAGAAACGGCUACCACAUCCAAGGAAGGCAGCAGGCGCGCAAAUUACCCACUCCCGGCACGGGGAGGUAGUGACGAAAAAUAACGAUACGGGACUCAUCCGAGGCCCCGUAAUCGGAAUGAGUACACUUUAAAUCCUUUAACGAGGAUCAAUUGGAGGGCAAGUCUGGUGCCAGCAGCCGCGGUAAUUCCAGCUCCAAUAGCGUAUAUUAAAGUUGUUGCGGUUAAAAAGCUCGUAGUUGAAUCUGUGUCGCACGCUGUCGGUUCGCCGCUCGCGGGGUUUAACUGACAUGCUCGUGAGACGUCCUACCGGUGGGCUUAGCUCCUUCGGGGGCGGUCCAACUAAUAUCCCAUCGCGGUGCUCUUUAUUGAGUGUCGAGGUGGGCCGGUACGUUUACUUUGAACAAAUUAGAGUGCUUAAAGCAGGCUAUCAUUUGCCUGAAUAUUCUGUGCAUGGAAUAAUGGAAUAGGACCUCGGUUCUAUUUUGUUGGUUUUAAGAAACCCGAGGUAAUGAUUAAUAGGGACAGAUGGGGGCAUUCGUAUUGCGACGUUAGAGGUGAAAUUCUUGGAUCGUCGCAAGACGGACAGAAGCGAAAGCAUUUGCCAAAAAUGUUUUCAUUAAUCAAGAACGAAAGUUAGAGGUUCGAAGGCGAUCAGAUACCGCCCUA